rnacentral:rRNA from 1 species
CCUACGGGAGGCAGCAGUGAGGAAUAUUGGUCAAUGGACGAGAGUCUGAACCAGCCAAGUAGCGUGAAGGAUGACUGCCCUAUGGGUUGUAAACUUCUUUUAUAUGGGAAUAAAAUGUUCCACGUGUGGGAUUUUGUAUGUACCAUCUGAAUAAGGAUCGGCUAACUCCGUGCCAGCCGCCGCGGUAAUACGGAGGAUCCGAGCGUUAUCCGGAUUUAUUGGGUUUAAAGGGAGCGUAGGUGGAUUGUUAAGUCAGUUGUGAAAGUUUGCGGCUCAACCGUAAAAUUGCAGUUAAAACUGGCAGUCUUGAGUACAGUAGAGGUGGGCGGAAUUCGGGGUGUAGCGGUGAAAUGCUUAGAUAUCACGAAGAACUCCGAUUGCGAAGGCAGCUCACUGGACUGCAACUGACACUGAGGCUCGAAAGUGUGGGUAUCAAACAGGAUUAGAUACCCCUGUAGUC